UACGAGGGGGGCAAGCGUUGUUCGGAAUUAUUGGGCGUAAAGGGCGCGCAGGCGGUGCGGUAAGUCUGAUGUGAAAUCUCCGGGCUCAACUCGGAGUCUGCAUCAGAAACUGCCGUGCUUGAGUGUGGGAGAGGUGAGUGGAAUUCCCGGUGUAGCGGUGAAAUGCGUAGAUAUGUGGAGGAAUACCGAUGGCGAAGGCAGCCCCCUGGGCCAAUACUGACGCUCAUGCACGAAAGCGUGGGGAGCAAACAGG
rnacentral:rRNA from 1 species